rnacentral:rRNA from 1 species
UACGGAGGGAGCUAGCGUUGUUCGGAAUUACUGGGCGUAAAGCGCGCGUAGGCGGCUUUGUAAGUUAGAGGUGAAAGCCUGGAGCUCAACUCCAGAAUUGCCUUUAAGACUGCAUCGCUAGAAUCCAGGAGAGGUGAGUGGAAUUCCGAGUGUAGAGGUGAAAUUCGUAGAUAUUCGGAAGAACACCAGUGGCGAAGGCGGCUCACUGGCUCGACACUGACGCUGAGGUGCGAAAGCGUGGGGAGCAAACAGG